rfam:Chaetomium globosum CBS 148.51 scaffold_2 genomic scaffold, whole genome shotgun sequence.
ACAUACGACCAUAUCCACGAGAAAGCACGGGAUCCCGUCCGCUCUCCCCGAAUUAACCUCGUGAGAGCCGAAUCAGUAGUUGGGUCGGUGACGACCAGCGAAUCCUCGGUGUUGUAUGUU